rnacentral:rRNA from 1 species
AAGCGACCAAGCGUACACGGUGGAUGCCCUGGCAGUCAGAGGCGAUGAAGGACGUGCUAAUCUGCGAAAAGCGCCGGUAAGGUGAUAUGAACCGUUAUAACCGGCGAUGUCCGAAUGGGGAAACCCAGUGUGACUCGUCACACUAUCAUUAACUGAAUCCAUAGGUUAAUGAGGCGAACCGGGGGAACUGAAACAUCUAAGUACCCCGAGGAAAAGAAAUCAACCGAGAUUCCCCCAGUAGCGGCGAGCGAACGGGGAGGAGCCCAGAGCCUGAAUCAGCAUGUGUGUUAGUGGAAGCGUCUGGAAAGGCGCGCGAUACAGGGUGAGAGCCCCGUACACAAAAGCGCAUAUGCUGUGAGCUCGAUGAGUAGGGCGGGACACGUGGUAUCCUGUCUGAAUAUGGGGGGACCAUCCUCCAAGGCUAAAUACUCCUGACUGACCGAUAGUGAACCAGUACCGUGAGGGAAAGGCGAAAAGAACCCCGGCGAGGGGAGUGAAACAGAACCUGAAACCGUGUACGUACAAGCAGUGGGAGCCUCUCUUUAUGGGGGGUGACUGCGUACCUUUUGUAUAAUGGGUCAGCGACUUAUAUUCUGUAGCAAGGUUAACCGCAUAGGGGAGCCGAAGGGAAACCGAGUCUUAAUUGGGCGUUAAGUUGCAGGGUAUAGACCCGAAACCCGGUGAUCUAGCCAUGGGCAGGUUGAAGGUUGGGUAACACUAACUGGAGGACCGAACCGACUAAUGUUGAAAAAUUAGCGGAUGACCUGUGGCUGGGGGUGAAAGGCCAAUCAAACCGGGAGAUAGCUGGUUCUCCCCGAAAGCUAUUUAGGUAGCGCCUCGUGAACUCAUCUCCGGGGGUAGAGCACUGUUUCGGCUAGGGGGCCAUCCCGGCUUACCAACCCGAUGCAAACUGCGAAUACCGGAGAAUGUUAUCACGGGAGACACACGGCGGGUGCUAACGUCCGUCGUGAAGAGGGAAACAACCCAGACCGCCAGCUAAGGUCCCAAAGUCAUGGUUAAGUGGGAAACGAUGUGGGAAGGCCCAGACAGCCAGGAUGUUGGCUUAGAAGCAGCCAUCAUUUAAAGAAAGCGUAAUAGCUCACUGGUCGAGUCGGCCUGCGCGGAAGAUGUAACGGGGCUAAACCAUGCACCGAAGCUGCGGCAGCGACACUUUAGUGUUGUUGGGUAGGGGAGCGUUCUGUAAGCCGUUGAAGGUGUCCUGUGAGGGGUGCUGGAGGUAUCAGAAGUGCGAAUGCUGACAUAAGUAACGAUAAAGCGGGUGAAAAGCCCGCUCGCCGGAAGACCAAGGGUUCCUGUCCAACGUUAAUCGGGGCAGGGUGAGUCGACCCCUAAGGCGAGGCCGAAAGGCGUAGUCGAUGGGAAACGGGUUAAUAUUCCCGUACUUGGUGUUACUGCGAAGGGGGGACGGAGAAGGCUAUGUUGGCCGGGCGACGGUAGUCCCGGUUUAAGCGUGUAGGUGUGUGUUCCAGGCAAAUCCGGUUCACUUUAACACUGAGGCGUGAUGACGAGGCACCACGGUGCUGAAGCAACAAAUGCCCUGCUUCCAGGAAAAGCCUCUAAGCAUCAGGUAACAUCAAAUCGUACCCCAAACCGACACAGGUGGUCAGGUAGAGAAUACCAAGGCGCUUGAGAGAACUCGGGUGAAGGAACUAGGCAAAAUGGUGCCGUAACUUCGGGAGAAGGCACGCUGACAC